AUGUGACAACCUUAAGGAAAUUCCAAUAGAUUUUGGAGAAAUUUGUAGUUUGGAGUCGAUUGAAUUACAUAAUUGCAGCACUUCUGCUGAGGAUUCUGCAAGAAAGAUUGAACAAGAGCAAGAGGACAUGGGAAACAAUUGCCUUAAAGUCUACAUCCAUACAUAACACUCAAUGAUCCUGAGUCCACACAUCAUCUCUUCUUUAUAUGUCCGGGGCAAUAUGGCGUAAGCUAUAGGUUUGAAGUUUGGCGCAGGUAAGGAGCUGAAGUAUAUCGCAUGGUGUUAGCAGCUGCAGCACAUCAAAUCUGGCAUGUGAGAAACCAAAUCAGUUUUAAGACCAUAGCUUGACCACCACAAACCAUGGUUCGACUGAUCGUGCAAAAGGUGCAUCACAGGGCAAAAGGUGCUCGUAGUAGAACUCAUGUCAUCUGGAUAGUGUAGAGGAUUAGGUGUUUCUAACUUUUAGUUUUAUAUAAAUGACUAGAACAAGAACUAACAAAUUAAAAAUUAUGACAUCAGAUGCCUUCUGCAA